UACGUAGGGUGCGAGCGUUAAUCGGAAUACUGGGCGUAAAGCGUGCGCAGGCGGUUUUGUAAGCCAGAUGUGAAAUCCCCGGGCUUAACCUGGGAAUGGCAUUUGGGACUGCAAGGCUCGAGUGCGGCAGAGGAGACUGGAAUUCCUGGUGUAGCAGUGAAAUGCGUAGAUAUCAGGAGGAACACCGAUGGCGAAGGCAGGUCUCUGGGCUGACACUGACGCUCAUGCACGAAA
rnacentral:rRNA from 1 species